rnacentral:rRNA from 1 species
AAUGGGCGCAAGCCUGACCCAGCAACGCCGCGUGAGGGAAGAAGGUUUUCGGAUUGUAAACCUCUGUCGCAGGGGACGAAAAAAAUGACGGUACCCUGUGAGGAAGCCCCGGCUAACUACGUGCCAGCAGCCGCGGUAAGACGUAGGGGGCGAGCGUUGUCCGGAAUUACUGGGCGUAAAGGGUGCGUAGGCGGCAAUUCAAGUCUGAUGUGAAAUUCCCGUGCUUAACAUGGGGCUUGCAUCGGAAACUGAAUAGCUAGAGUGCAGGAGAGGUAAGCGGAAUUCCUAGUGUAGCGGUGAAAUGCAUAGAUAUUAGGAGGAACACCAGUGGCGAAGGCGGCUUACUGGACUGUAACUGACGCUGAAGCACGAAAGCGUGGGGAGCAAA